GAGCUGAGUUGAUUCUCCUCAUCAUCCUACUAUAAAAUGACUUGUGCAUCAACCUUAAUACUUAUGCAUGUCUAUCUCGCUUUGUAUAAUUGGUAUAAGAACACCACAAUUAAGCGUGCAAAAAAACACAUUUUAGGCAUUAGUGCCAACUGAUCCCUCCAAUAUGAUAUUAAUUCUACAAAUGUAAAUGUAAGGUUUGUUUUUCUGAAGGUGAGGGUAUAAGAUGCAAGAAUAAAGAGAUAAUAUCAGACAAAUGGAAGGUGCGUAUCCCAUACUUAGCCACUACCAAAAUACCAAAUAACGCUGAUCCAAUCUAAUCAAACN
rnacentral:lncRNA from 1 species